CAGCCGCCGCGGUAAUACGUAGGGUGCAAGCGUUAAUCGGAAUUACUGGGCGUAAAGCGUGCGCAGGCGGUUUGUUAAGACAGAUGUGAAAUCCCCGGGCUCAACUUGGGAACUGCAUUUGUGACUGGCAAGCUAGAGUGUGGCAGAGGAUGGUGGAAUUCCCGGUGUAGCGGUGAAAUGCGUAGAGAUCGGGAGGAACAUCAGUGGCGAAGGCGGCCAUCUGGGACAACACUGACGCUGAGGCACGAAAGCGUGGGGAGCAAACAGGAUUAGAUACCCCAGUAGUCCCUGUCUCUUAUAC
rnacentral:rRNA from 1 species